UACAGAGGGGGCAAGCGUUGUUCGGAAUUACUGGGCGUAAAGCGUGCGUAGGUGGUUUGUUAAGUCUGCUGUGAAAGUCCAGGGCUCAACCCUGGGAUGCCGGUGGAUACUGUCGAGCUCGAGUCCGGAAGAGGCGAGUGGAAUUCCUGGUGUAGCGGUGAAAUGCGCAGAUAUCAGGAGGAACACCAAUGGCGAAGGCAGCUCGCUGGGACGGUACUGACGCUGAGACGCGAAAGCGUGGGGAGCAAACAGG
rnacentral:rRNA from 1 species